UUUGGCUUCUCUCUAUCCUCCUUAACUCCUUUACUCUUUACCAAUUCCCUGAUCUCAAUUUUUCCCUUCUUAAAAACUCACCAGUUUGUCACUCAUCGCCCCACCGGCCACCCCACGCCGAUUCCAACCCACUGGCCAACAAAGGCCUCACUGGCCACCCAACGUCCCCACACACUUACCACUGAAGGCCUCAGUUGUUGAGUGACGAAUUAACGAUGCACACAUCCAUCGUCUGUCGAUCUAUAAUUCCAUUUAUCAUUCCUGGCGGCCGUUCCUACUCACAUAAUGGGUCGAAGCCAUUCUGUUUCAGGUCCUUACAGCUAUAGAAUUUACUCUAUUGGAUGAUCAGAAUGUUGAUAUAGUAGUUGUUGAGGAGGAGCACGGGAUGCUACAAACAUAAUCACAAGUUUUGAGCUUGUUGCUGCAAUUAAUAACUAUAGGAAAAGAACAGCUGACUGCUUUUGGGGGUUCCUUGGAAAGCAUAGCAUUGGCAAAGUCAUGCCCAGUUUGGUGCCUAUUCUUUCUUUGUAAUUAUCUAUAUGAAAUGAUUGAAUAUAAUCAUAUUUUAUGCAGAUAUUAAUCUAAAUCUGAAAUACUUGCAAUCUAUAAGUUGCCUAAUGCAGGCUGGAUUGCAGGGCCGAGUAAGCUUUGAUCUAAGUUAGUCACUGUGAACGUGACACGCUAUGUAUCAGCUAUUAUAGUGAAGUGUCCUUGUCUUGCAAACUGUGAUUGAGUUCAGGACUAGUGGUGGAUGCUCGACACCUUUGAUAUGCACAAGCAAACCCUAGUAUGAAGUGGUAUGGAGUUCUUUAGUAAUUGAUUUACUUCCUUUUUUAGGCUGUUAUGAAAUAGGUAUAAAUUGGUGCAUCGGGUUUUUCUACUCACUCCUACUAUGAUGACUAACGAGAUGCAGGGAAACGGUUUUACGCGUCAUAUAUUCCUAGUAAUGCAGUAGCUGUAGUGUUAGGGUUGUCAUUCAGCAAUUUUUUUAUUUUAUUAUUUUUUUUGUCAUGGUUAACGGUUUACAUACCUGCAUCUUCAAAGGAUCGGCUUUUGACGAUUAGAGGGGUUAAGGCUUCCUACCUAGUUAGAUUUUGUUGCUGCCCUUCUACUGCCGAUAGUGCUGCCCCUGCUACUUCACAUUCUGCUCUGUUGGGUUGCUGCUUCACAUUAUGCCUUGCUAGAGCACCUGCUGCGUUGCUACUUCGGCUCUGCUGGAACUGCUGCUCUUGUUGUUUUGAAUACUCCAGUUGUAAAUUUUUUGCAAGUGUAAAAUAACAAGUUAUUUUAGGUAUAUUAUUUAUAUAUUCAUUAUAUUAUGUAUAGAUUCAACUGAUUGAAAAAUAAAUUGUAUAUAUUCAAGCUACUAUAGGUUAAAAAUAUUAGUGUUUAUGUAUUUUUUUUAAGUACUAUGAAAUUAGAUCAAUUCAAAUUAAUGUC